CCUAAAAUUGGGUCGAACAACUUUCCUCCCAACUCUGCCUUCAACAAUGCGAGUUGCGGACGGCCUUGCCCUGCGCAGGCUGCACUGUGCUACCGGCUGCGCGACAGCCUGCCCUGCUCGACCCCGCUUUGGCGGUCGUGCAGGGCCGCCUCACACUCAUCGUGAGCAGCGAGCAUGCAAGGCUGCCUCACGCUCGUCGCGAGCAGCGGGCGGCCCACCCUUCUCCACUCCCCGUCUCUUUGAUCCAUGGUCGGAAUCUCCUCCUCUGAGGAGGUGGAGGGGGAGGCUCCGACGCUACUUCUCUGUAGGCAUUCCCCUCCACUUCUGAGCUCAGCUUCUCCAGCUCCAUCAAUUCUUCUUCUUCUUCGAGAUCUAAGCUUGAAUUUCGGUAGCCAAAAACACAACGAGCAGUUGAGAGGAAGUGCAAAGGAGGAGAAGUGGGAGAUGCGUUGCGAUUGAGAGCAAAGGAGCAAGAAAGGGAUUCACUUUUUGACUUGUAAAUGACAUUUGACAUCCUCCGCUCGCUCUUGAUGCGCUUGUGAGGCUGGGGACGUGAACUUGCAGCAAGAUGGUGAUUGUCGCCUAGAAGGAGAUUGGAUUACUGCUAGUUACAAGUUAUUUGCCCUACUCCACCUUCGCCUACAAACCCUUAAAUCCCUUCCCCAUCGACAAGACCGUCCAAUCCCUCUUCCAACGCCGAUGCCACCCCGCACAAAGUCUCUUACCGGAAAAGGCAGGGCGAGGACGGCGGAGAAGAGAAAUCUCUUCUUAAAACGGGCAAGCAUUAUGCUAGCGGCCUCCACCUCCUCAUCUUCCUCGACCGCUACCACAGGUAGCAGGAAGCCCGUGGUGGUCUCCCGCUAGGCACCACAUGCCAAAGCUAUUGGAUCACAGUCUGGAGAAAAAAAGGAAGAGGGAUUGCUCUCGGAACCCUAAUGAACAGGCGCAGAAGCGGAGAGCCAGAAAGGAGACGAUCCGCGACUCUUCCGUAUGACAAUAAUAUCUGGGCUUUGCCGGCUUCCUGCCACCAUCUACUUCAGGAGCGACGCUCCUUGAAUAUUAAUAUUGGUAACCAGGUUGGAAGAGUUUUGCUGGGUUUAUUUCUCCAGUGUCUAGUUGUAGUGGCGAUGUCAAAGGUAGAUGUGGAGGAGAUGGAAAAGGGCAUAUGCCCUCUAGGCUUGCAAAAGAAAUGAGCUAGGAUAUUGAAGCUCUUGUGAUUAUCUGAGAACGAUUGAGUUUAUGUAACUCAGCUUCAUCGCAUUGACAAAUAUAGCUGAUUACUCUACGGGAUCAUAAUUUAGUCAUCUAUUGGAAGCUUCUUUGUGGUAAGAAAUUUCAUUUUGAAAGUUGAAUGAACUGAAUAGUAAAAAUUCAAUUUGUGUAAAUUUUUAUACUCGUAAGCCAUGAAUUACAUGAUAUGUGAGAUUAAUCAUGAUACAUCCAAAUGUUUUUUUAUCACUUUUAAAUGUCUUACGAUAUCGUUUUAUGGGCAAAGAAGCAGGUAUAGCUAUUAGGUGAAAUAUAUAAGUUUUUGAUGAAAUGAUACUAAUUUAGUGAAACAUUUAAGUGAUCCCACAACGUUUAAUUUACAUUUCACUAAACAGGUGGUAUUAUUCCAUCAAAAACUUGUAUGUUUAACCUAGUAGUCCUGCCUGCUUCUUUUCCCAUAAAUCAAAUAUAUUUUUAAAAGUGAGAAAUGAUGUAAAAUAGAAGUAAUGAUGUAUAUAUUUGUAGCAUGAUAUCUAGAACCGUUCAGAAUUAUUUAUCAAGCAAACACAUUUGAGCAUUCCAUGAUUAACCUCAUAGAUCAUGUAAUCCAUAAUUUAUAAGCAUUAAAAUUACACAUUAAAUUUUGCAAUAGAUGAUUAAUUUAUGAGAUCUUAUGGAGUAAUUUGUUUCAUCUUUCCAGCACAGAAUAUUGCAUGUGUAUCAACACAAAAAUAGGAAUGAAUUUAUCGCAUUGCUUAUGUUAUUCAUGUUCCAAAUACCCAUAAAGUUGUAUUCAAACAAAGACAUUCACUUACUAAUGCCAUGAAAUUGGGUUACAUAAACUUAAUCGUAUCUCAGAUACUUACAAAAGAAUCUCUUCAGCCUGGCUCGUUUCUUUUGUAAUCCUAGAAGACAUGAACCUUUAUUUGAAAUGGGAUCAAGCUCUAGUAGACUUUUCAUCCUUUCUGCAGUCUUCUCUCUGGAGCUGCAUCAAUUGAUGGAUACACAUCAGCAAUACUCGAUUGUACAACAUCCAUCCAUGACCCUAGUAUCUGGGGUUGACUAAUUCUAGAUAGCAAACCAAAUCUACUUCAAAAAUGGGUUAACAUCCAUGUAGUUUAAAUCAAAUGGUUAGCACUAAGACAAUUUGUUGU